rnacentral:tRNA from 1 species
UGGGGCGUCGCCAAGUGGUAAGGCAGCGGGUUUUGGUUCCGCCAUGCGUUGGUUCGAAUCCAGCCGCCCCAG